AGUGAACGCUGGCGGUAGGCCUAACACAUGCAAGUCGAACGGCAGCACAGUAAGAGCUUGCUCUUACGGGUGGCGAGUGGCGGACGGGUGAGGAAUACAUCGGAAUCUACUUUUUCGUGGGGAUAACGUAGGGAAACUUACGCUAAUACCGCAUACGACCUACGGGUGAAAGCAGGGGAUCUUCGGACCUUGCGCGAUUGAAUGAGCCGAUGUCGGAUUAGCUAGUUGGCGGGGUAAAGGCCCACCAAGGCGACGAUCCGUAGCUGGUCUGAGAGGGUGAUCAGCCACACUGGAACUGGGACACGGUCCAGACUCCUACGGGAGGCAGCAGUGGGGAAUAUUGGACAAUGGGCGCAAGCCUGAUCCAGCCAUACCGCGUGGGUGAAGAAGGCCUUCGGGUUGUAAAGCCCUUUUGUUGGGAAAGAAAAGCAGCAGGUUAAUACCCCGCUGUUCUGACGGUACCCAAAGAAUAAGCACCGGCUAACUUCGUG
rnacentral:rRNA from 1 species